rnacentral:rRNA from 1 species
UACAGAGGGUGCAAGCGUUGUUCGGAAUUACUGGGCGUAAAGCGCGUGUAGGCGGCGUCGUUAGUCGGAUGUGAAAGCCCUCGGCUCAACCGAGGAAGUGCAUCCGAUACUGCGAGGCUUGAGUGUCGGAGGGGGUGGCGGAAUUCCCGGUGUAGAGGUGAAAUUCGUAGAUAUCGGGAGGAACACCUGUGGCGAAGGCGGCCACCUGGACGACAACUGACGCUGAGACGCGAAAGCGUGGGUAGCAAACAGG